AAUAUUUACUACUUCCAGCCUCAUAAUCCUGCAGUCAUUUGGCACCUCUGAAGCCUUGGGGAGCACUGAAGCCAAGGCUGCACCGUACCAAAAAUUUGAAACAUGUGAAUGAGCUGAAUGUGGAAGGACUACCGGAAAACACUCCUUUCAGAAUCCCCUCAUUGCAUGAAAUCCCAAGGCUCGAAAACAUCUUUCAAGUGAGCAAUUGAAUUAAGUUUGUUAUUAAGAGCUUGGUGAAAGGUAGAAGUUACACGUGAGAAGGCGGUGGAGCCAGGCACAUGAUGGAGCCUCGAAGAGUGGAAGGUGGCACCUGGCUCUGUGAGGAGGGUGUGAAGUCCUCCAUGGGAGGAAGAGAUGCCAGCAAAGGAGUAACUCCAGUUAGCCUCCAUUGUCUCCAAGCCGGCUUUUGUCCUCAUCCACAACGCCUCCACACAAGCUCUGAACACCUGUCCAUGUAAAAAUAUCAAGAAAUGCUGAGGCCCAUGUCCCAGAACAACAGUCCUUUAGGUGGAUCACACAUUCUCCACUACACCAAGCUCUACUCACAGGUUGGAGACACGCUUUUUGCAGAAUAUAUGAAGGAACAUUUUGGAACCCAUUGAGGACUAUGUGGAAAAACCAAAUAUCCCUAGAAAAAAACAAGUUGGAAAGACUCGUUUUGUAGAAUCUGUGAAGGGAAAAUCAAACCCCUUUGAGGCCUAUGGGGAAAAACCAAAUAUCUCCAGAUAAAAACUAGAAAGAAGCUAUCUGUGAAACUGCUUUGUGAUGUGUGGAUUCAUCUCACAGAAUUAAACCUUUCUUUUGAUUCAA
rnacentral:lncRNA from 10 species